rnacentral:rRNA from 1 species
UGACGUAUGUAGAGUUUGAUCAUGGCUCAGGACGAACGCUGGCGGCGUGCUUAACACAUGCAAGUCGAACGGUGAAGCCUUUCGGGGUGGAUCAGUGGCGAACGGGUGAGUAACACGUGGGCAAUCUGCCCUGCAUUCUGGGACAAGCCCUGGAAACGGGGUCUAAUACCGGAUACGACCUGUCCCCGCAUGGGUGGGGUGGAAGCAUCCGGCGAUGCAGGAUGAGCCCGCGGCCUAUCAGCUUGUUGGUGGGGUGAUGGCCUACCAAGGCGACGACGGGUAGCCGGCCUGAGAGGGCGACCGGCCACACUGGGACUGAGACACGGCCCAGACUCCUACGGGAGGCAGCAGUGGGGAAUAUUGCACAAUGGGCGAAAAGCCUGAUGCAGCGACGCCGCGUGAAGGAUGACGGCC